rnacentral:rRNA from 1 species
UACGGGGGGGGCAAGCGUUGUUCGGAAUUACUGGGCGUAAAGGGUUCGUAGGUGGCCAACUAAGUCAGACGUGAAAUCCCUCAGCUUAACUGGGGAACUGCGUCUGAGACUGGAUGGCUUGAGUGCAGGAGAGGAACGCGGAAUUCCAGGUGUAGCGGUGAAAUGCGUAGAUAUCGGAAGGAACAUCAGUGGCGAAAGCGACUUCCUGGACCAAUACUGACGCUCAUGUGCGAAAGCGUGGGGAGCAAACAGG